UACGAAGGGGGCUAGCGUUGCUCGGAAUUACUGGGCGUAAAGCGCACGUAGGCGGCUCUUUAAGUCAGGGGUGAAAUCCUGGAGCUCAACUCCAGAACUGCCUUUGAUACUGAGGAUCUUGAGUUCGGGAGAGGUGAGUGGAACUGCGAGUGUAGAGGUGAAAUUCGUAGAUAUUCGCAAGAACACCAGUGGCGAAGGCGGCUCACUGGCCCGAUACUGACGCUGAGGCACGAAAGCGUGGGGAGCAAACAGG
rnacentral:rRNA from 1 species